rnacentral:rRNA from 1 species
UACAGAGGUCCCAAGCGUUGUUCGGAUUCACUGGGCGUAAAGGGUGCGUAGGUGGUGAGGUAAGUCGGAUGUGAAAGCUCGGAGCUCAACUCCGAAAUGGCAUUGGAAACUACCUUGCUCGAGGGUUGGAGGGGGGACUGGAAUACUUGGUGUAGCAGUGAAAUGCGUAGAUAUCAAGUGGAACACCAGUGGCGAAGGCGAGUUCCUGGACAGUUACUGACGCUGAGGCACGAAGGCCAGGGGAGCAAACGGG